UCUAAGCACAUGCCUUAAUACGGUGAAGCCGCGAAUAGCUCAUUACAACAGCCACCGUUUACUAGAAUAUCGUUAUCCUACUUGGAUAACUGUGGCAAUUCUAGAGCUAAUACAUGCAUAAAAGCUCUGCCCGUAAGGAAUGAGCGCAUUUAUUAGAAUAAAAACCAAUCGGGCUCUCGUAGUCCGUCACACGUUUGGUGAAUCUGAAUAACUUUGCCAAUCGCACAGUCCUAGUACUGGCGAUGUAUCUUUCAAGUGUCUGCCUUAUCAACUUUCGAUGGUAGGUUAUACGCCUACCAUGGUAGUAACGGGUAACGGAGAAUAAGGGUUCGACUCCGGAGAGGGAGCCUGAGAAACGGCUACCACAUCCAAGGAAGGCAGCAGGCGCGCAAAUUACCCACUUCCAGAACGGAGAGGUAGUGACGAAAAAUAACGAGACAGUCCUCUUCGAGGUCUGUCAUCGGAAUGGGUACAAUUUAAAUCCUUUAACGAGGAUCUAUUGGAGGGCAAGUCUGGUGCCAG
rnacentral:rRNA from 1 species